rnacentral:rRNA from 1 species
UGAGGAAUAUUGCACAAUGGGGGGAACCCUGAUGCAGCAACGCCGCGUGAGCGAUGAAGGCCUUCGGGUCGUAAAGCUCUUUUCUGUGGGAUGAGAAAAGGACAGUACCACAGGAAUAAGUCUCGGCUAACUACGUGCCAGCAGCCGCGGUAAAACGUAGGAGGCGAGCGUUAUCCGGAUUCACUGGGCGUAAAGGGCAAGUAGGCGGUAGGCAAAGUUGGGCGUGACAAAUCUCGGCUUAACUGAGAGGGGUCGUUCAAAACUAGGCUACUGGAGGGCAGGAGAGGAAGGCGGAAUUCCGAGUGUAGCGGUGGAAUGCUCAGAUAUUCGGAAGAACACCAGUGGCGAAGGCGGCCUUCUGGCCUGCACCUGACGCUGAGAGGCGAAAGCUAGGGGAGCGAACGG